rnacentral:misc_RNA from 1 species
GACGAAGGUGGCAAGCGUUACUCGGAAUUACUGGGCGUAAAGCGCGCGUAGGCUGACUUUUAAGUCAGGGGUGAAAUCCCGGGGCUCAACCUCGGAACUGCCUUUGAUACUGGAAGUCUUGAGUCCGAGAGAGGUGAGUGGAACUCCGAGUGUAGAGGUGAAAUUCGUAGAUAUUCGGAAGAAAACCAGUGGCGAAGGCGGCUCACUGGCUCGGUACUGACGCUGAGGUGCGAAAGCGUGGGGAGCAAACAGG